rnacentral:misc_RNA from 1 species
UGGCUCUCGCAUCGAUGAAGAACGCAGCGAAAUGCGAUAAGUAAUGUGAAUUGCAGAAUUCAGUGAAUCAUCGAAUCUUUGAACGCACCUUGCGCCUCUUGGUAUUCCGAGAGGCAUGCCUGUUUGAGUGUCAUUAAAUUCUCAACUUCUAUAGUUUUUAUAACUGUAUGAAGCUUGGAUGUGGAGGCUUUUGCUGGACUUUCAUUAGUUCGGCUCCUCUUAAAUGUAUUAGUGGAGACUGCUUGCGGUCCACAACUAGUGUGAUAAUUAUCUACGCUGCUUGUUGGUACUGCACGCUUUGUAGUGCUUCGUAUUGGGAAGUUUGCAUUCUUAAACCAAUGCUCUUUCUGCUUUCAAAUGAACCUACUCAUAAGUGAAGUCUUUCCGCUUCUAACCGUCCUGCAAGGGACAAUUCUUUUGACUUUUUGACCUCAAAUCAGGUAGGACUACCCGCUGA